rnacentral:rRNA from 1 species
GUCUAUGGCCAUGCCACCCUGAACAAGCCCAAUCUCAUCUGAUCUCGGAAGCUAAGCAAGGUGAGGCCUGGUUACUACUUGGAUGGGAGACCACCUAGGAAGACUAGGUGCUGUAGGCG